GGAAAUUCUCUUCAGUCUAAAUAUUUGGAAUAUUUUUUCAUUCAAAUUCAAUUAACUUUCUGAUUGUUUCUUUUCUAUUUAUUUGUUUGGUUUUGGAAAUGUUCUUUGUUUACACAAACAUCAUGAAUGUUCUUUUUGUUCUUAAGUUGGCUAUAGAUAACAGUAACAUAAUUAUGAAGGUGUGAGGGAACACAAAAACGGAGAAGGGGACGACCAAAGAAGGCAACAGGACGUCGCACAAAGGGAGCAGUAGGGAUGAGGAGAAACAAAUAUUUCCUGGAUUAGAAAUUCCCAUAGCUGAGCAGUGUGAAGAUGCGUGAGGUGGUUAUGUGCUUUAAUGUCACAAGAACCUGAAUAAUAUGUUCUCCCCUUUUUUACUGUCUUUGGAUGCACUGUCAUUUCUUAUGGUUAUGGAAUCCAAUUUUCUCAGACAGAAUAAAAUAUGGUAUCCUAACCAGGGUGAGCAGUGCACUGCUAGAUUACUCCUCUGCAGUAGAAGUUGAAUAAAAGACAAUAAAUGAGUUUCCCUUGUUUCCUAAUUUAUGGUUUAAUCUAUAUGGAUUUUUCUUCUC